UCCCUGUUACCAGGGCAGUCUGAGUAGAAAAAUUCAACUACUCACAAGGGUUGCGCUCGUUGAUGGACUUAACCAAACAUCUCACGACACGAGCUGACGACGGCCAUGCAACACCUGUCACUUGGUUCAAAAUGCACUCUCUCCUUUCGGAAAGAUUCCAAGGAUGUCAAGCCUGGGUAAGGUUCUUCGCUUACCAUCGAAUUAAACAACACGCUCCACCGCUUGUGCGGGUCCCCGUCAAUUCCUUUAUGUUUUAGUCUUGCGACCGUACUCCACAGGCGGGAUGCUUAACGCGUUAGCUUCGCUACAUCCGGGGUCGAUACCGAAUACAGCUAGCAUCCAUAGUUUACGGCGUGGACUAC
rnacentral:misc_RNA from 1 species